CCUACGGGUGGCAGCAGUCGAGAAUUAUUCACAAUGGGGGAAACCCUGAUGGUGCGACGCCGCGUGGGGGAAUGAAGGUCUUCGGAUUGUAAACCCCUGUCAUGUGGGAGCAAAUUAAAAAGAUAGUACCACAAGAGGAAGAGACGGCUAACUCUGUGCCAGCAGCCGCGGUAAUACAGAGGUCUCAAGCGUUGUUCGGAAACACUGGGCGUAAAGGGUGCGUAGGCUGUUUCGUAAGUCGUGUGUGAAAGGCGAGGGCUCAACCCGCGGACGGCACAUGAUACUGCGGGACUAGAGUAAUGGAGGGGGAACCGGAAUUCUCGGUGUAGCAGUGAAAUGCGUAGAUAUCGAGAGGAACACUCGUGGCGAAGGCGGGUUCCUGGACAUUAACUGACGCUGAGGCACGAAGGCCAGGGGAGCGAAAGGGAUUAGAUACCCCUGUAGUC
rnacentral:rRNA from 1 species